CGGCCUUUGGUGCAGCUGUAAGUCGGAUGGAAUCCACCUUCCUGACGUCAGACCCACCCACUGGAACACUGCUCCUCUGACUGGGGCUUCCCUGAAUGGAAACUACAUGUCAUACUGCAAAAGACAGGGUCUCACUAUGUUGCCCAGGCUGGUCUCAAAUUCCUUCUCAAGUGAUCCUCCCACCUCAACCUCCCAAAGUGCUGGGAUUGCAGGCAUGAGCCACUGCACCCAGCAGAAAUUCUUAACGAGGCAAGGCCAACAGAGGCCAUUCAUUCAACAUCACGGCACCAUAGUGGCCUCUUUUUAAGACUCCUCAGCUGUCAGACCUGCUACAAAGAAUGAGUUUUAAUUCUGGGGAUGUUAUUAAACUCCUUGCUUAACUGGCAGAAAAAUGGAACUGCUAGCUGGGUGACAGUAGAGCUGCUGUCGGAUUGAAUGACACCUGUCAGAGUAUGAUGAAUGACCCUGUCUUCCCCACAAUCCCCUGUUCUGUCACUCAGGUGAGGCCCAUUAAUCUUCAUCCUGGGCCUGUCAGGCUAGGCACCCAUGACGACAAAAUGUCUUGAAGCAUUUACCCCCAAGAUGCACGGAACAAUACGAUCUUCUCAUUGUCAGAGCCACGUGGAAUUAGCAUAAUUUAUUAUGACUUCCAUCCCCCUCACUCUCUACCUCUAUCACCACCCCCAAAAAAGCAAGUGGGGGCUAGAUGGGAUUAGACAGAUGGAGUGUAGGACCAGACUGCCAACUACCAAACCCCCUGCAGUGCCUGAUGAUUGGGGGGAGCAUCUCUACAAACCAAUCAAAAAGCUGGCAGUUCAAUUACAGAGUAAUAAAGGGACAUUCAUCAU
ensembl:lncRNA LINC01828 long intergenic non-protein coding RNA 1828